rnacentral:rRNA from 1 species
ACGGGUGAGUAACGCGUGGGAAUCUACCUUUUGCUACGGAAUAACUCAGGGAAACUUGUGCUAAUACCGUAUGUGCCCUUCGGGGGAAAGAUUUAUCGGCAAGAGAUGAGCCCGCGUUGGAUUAGCUAGUUGGUGGGGUAAAGGCCUACCAAGGCGACGAUCCAUAGCUGGUCUGAGAGGAUGAUCAGCCACACUGGGACUGAGACACGGCCCAGACUCCUACGGGAGGCAGCAGUGGGGAAUAUUGGACAAUGGGCGCAAGCCUGAUCCAGCCAUGCCGCGUGAGUGAUGACGGUCUUAGGAUUGUAAAGCUCUUUCACCGGUGAAGAUAAUGACGGUAACCGGAGAAGAAGCCCCGGCUAACUUCGUGCCAGCAGCCGCGGUAAUACGAAGGGGGCUAGCGUUGUUCGGAUUUACUGGGCGUAAAGCGCACGUAGGCGGACUUUUAAGUCAGGGGUGAAAUCCCAGAGCUCAACUCUGGAACUGCCUUUGAUACUGGAAGUCUUGAGUAUGGUAGAGGUGAGUGGAGUUCCGAGU